CUGAAUUUUAAUCUCAGCUUUACUAGGGAUUCACUCUGUGAUCUUGGGCAAGCCGACAUCUCUCUGAGUCAGUGUCCUCCUCUUCAACAAAGUGCUAAUAACAGUAUAUAUUUCAUAGAUAUGUCAUGAAGUUUAAAGGAGAUAAUAUAUGUGCAUCAUUUGGAGUAGUUCUAGGUAUCUAUUAAAUAGUAGAAAAUAUUAGCUAUUAUUAUUCUUUCAUGAACAAGCCACUCUUAUUUAACUAUCUUUACAAGUGUGGUCAAAUUUCUUUCAAACUUUUUUCACUUAGAACACUUCCUAUUUUUGUGAAGCCGCUGUUUUGCGCCUAGGUGACUGGAGUUCUAAUCUGAUGCAAUUUCACGCUCAAUAAAGGCCAGUAAAAAAUAAAUGAGCCUUCUGAUGGAGUCUGGGUUUUUUUCAGGCAAGUAGUGAAAAUGUUUAAAGAAAGGUAGUGAGGCUACUAGCUUUGAUUGAGCAAGAGGGAGGAGCCUGGCAGGGAGGUGGAUGUAGAGAAAAGUCCGACUGUCCACAGGAGCUUGUGCACCCUGGCUUCACCUUACUCUGUUCUUUCCAGGCACACGGUAAAUGGUAAACUAUUUUUAACCGGAUGAAUAACUGGUGUCCUGAAUUCUAGGUUCCAGUGCAGUUGAAGGUUUAAAAGACAGCAAUGAUCUCCCUUCUCCCCACAUGUCUUGAUGGUCUUUUUUGUUCACAACCUCCUUAUAUCACAAAAAUAAUCACUGAAAUAGACAUGCUGAGAUUGUCUCUGUCUCUUAUGAUUGUAUUGGGGAGAUUAAAAGUAUAUGUCUAAAAUUUACAGUUGGGAAACAAAAUUAAUAGACUCUUAGGGUAGGAUGAGAUCAUAAGAUGCCAUUUAUCAAGUUAUCUACUUUUAACAAAAGUGGAAAAUAGGUGCAGGUUGUUUUAGUGACUUAAAAAGGUCAGCUAGUUUCUAAAUAGUAAAGUUGAUAAUGAAAUG
rnacentral:lncRNA from 1 species